UACGUAGGGGGCAAGCGUUGUCCGGAAUCAUUGGGCGUAAAGAGCGCGUAGGCGGCCCUGUAAGUCCGCUGUGAAAGUCAAGGGCUCAACCCUUGGAUGCCGGUGGAUACUGCAGGGCUAGAGUCCGGAAGAGGCGAGUGGAAUUCCUGGUGUAGCGGUGAAAUGCGCAGAUAUCAGGAGGAACACCGGUGGCGAAGGCGGGUCUCUGGGCCGUAACUGACGCUGGAGGAGCGAAAGCGUGGGGAGCGAACAGG
rnacentral:rRNA from 1 species